rnacentral:rRNA from 1 species
AACGUAGGAGGCAAGCGUUGUCCGGAUUUAUUGGGCGUAAAGAGCGUGUAGGCGGCCAGACAGGUCCGUUGUGAAAACUCGAGGCUCAACCUCGAGAUGUCGAUGGAAACCGUCUGGCUAGAGUCCGGAAGAGGAGUGUGGAAUUCCUGGUGUAGCGGUGAAAUGCGCAGAUAUCAGGAAGAACACCUAUGGCGAAGGCAGCACUCUGGGACGGUACUGACGCUGAGACGCGAAAGCGUGGGGAGCGAACAGG